AAAAACAUCACAGUUAAUAUUUAAGGCAAUAAUAAAUAUGUUUAUCCUUAUUAAAAGACGAAAUGUAGAAAAUGUUAUUUUGGGCAGUUAAUCCAAAGGUGUCAAUGUGCAAUUUACAAACAAUGCAAUAAACAGAUAAAUUAAUAAUUCAGUCUGCACUAAUAUACAUCAAACAAAAGUAUUUUAAGUAUGUGUGCUUGUUUAAGUCUUUUUAAUUUUGUAUUUUAUUUUUUAUAAAUAAAUAAGACUUUACAUUAAAUUGUGUUUACAAUUAAAAAAUACGACUAACUAAUACUAAUAUUUAUUGGUGCACUUUCGUUUCUAAAACAAUGACAUAUAUUGCAAGGCAUCUUGGAAGUAGUAGUCCUUUAACCUCAACAGCGUUCAAUCCGCCGUGGAAAAUGGACUACCUUUCCCAUAAUGCAACUGGUCAUGAUCAGGAACUUCCGCGAAAUUCAAACCCCCACUGUGUACUGGACGAAGGACACGCGAUCUUUUGUCUUGUGGAGUUUUAUAUAACACAGUAAGGUAAGUUAUUAAGAUACUUUUCUUUUAAAUCCACGUAGAUUGCACUUAUUGUUCUACAGCGCGAUAUCCAGUUGGUUUUCGUUUUUGUUUGUUAUUCUUUUCUGUGAUGUAUUUUCGUGUAAGUGCAAGUAUUUUAUCAUCAGUCGCCAUUUAACGUAGAUAACGUUAAACAUGCAUGUUUUUACAUUAAGAGACGCAACAUGCAUGACGGGGAUGAUAAAAUAAUCAAUAGGAAGUUUGAAUCUUUAAAUGAAUGCUGAACCCCAAAGAAGCCAAACGAAGAUUAGAUGUUUUCUGUACCAAACCACAAAUCAACAUUUGCUGAAGUCAUGUACCACACUUUGUCAACAAUAAAUGUUGUUUCUGCAAUCUGGAUAAAGAAUAAUAUAUUACUGCCUCUUGGAGAACAGCCGGCCGUACUCCAUACAGAGACAAAGACGUGAGGACAUCUAUUGCUUUUAAGUCAUGUACCACACUUUGUCAACAAUGCAUGUUGUUCCUGCAAUCUGGAUGAAGAAUAAUAUAUUACUGCCUCUUGGGAAAACAGCAGACUGUACUCCAGACAGAGACAAAGACAUGAGGACAUCCAUUGCUUUUAAGUCCUAUACCAGACUAUGUUGUUCCAGCUGUCUGGGUAAAGACUGAUACAUUACUGCCUCUUGGAGAACAGCAAACCAUUCUCCAGACAGAGACAAAGACAUGGACAUCAAAACAGAAAAUUAAGUACUUGAUCUUGGAUUGUUUGGAGUGAACGCUGGAAAAUAAUGAAGCAGGAAAUUAAAAUGCUUGACUAAAACAAUUUUUGUACUUGGCUGUAAGAAGUCCUUUGUGUGCACAGACAUGACUGGAGAUUAAAGUUACUAAAUGUUGCUUUUUUUCUAGCUGGUGACAUAACAUGGUAUUAUUUUCAAAUGUAUUUAUCUAAUACACAUUUGCACAUCUGUAAACAUUCAUUUUAUAUAGGAUGUUUUUUAUAUUUAACCAGUUGUUGUAUAUUGCUUUCUGUUAUUACAUCUGUUUUUUUUGCCUGUUUAUUGUUUAAAACAAUUAAGUUAAUGUUUCUCUGUUAGCUUUUGUUACUUUGGCUAUUUCUUUGCUUUUAUUUGAUCCUUCUACUGUUAUUUGUUUAUUUGGCAGAACAUUUGACAUUUAAUUUAUUUUGCUGUUAUCUGAAAUUAUCCUUGUCACCAUCAAUAAAACUCUAUAUUUGCUUUAUAUCUGUGUUUUUCAAUUACACAUUUUACGGGAUAUAAAUAUAUUUUGGUCACUUUAUGGCUAUUUUCUGGGGCAUCUGGAUAAGUUGUGGGUGGGUUCUGGGGUAAAUAUGGUAAUUUUGGUUAUUUUCUGGGUUACAUUUGGGGUUUCUGGAAAAGUUGUGGGUAAGUUUGGGGAUUAAUGUGGUCAUUUGGGCUCUUUUUUGGUUGUUAUCUGGAGAUUCCGGGAGAGCUGUGGCUGAUUUCUCGAGGUGUGAAAGGGUUGUGGCUAAAUUUUG